rnacentral:rRNA from 1 species
AAUCAAGGCUGAGGCGUGAUGACGAGGCACUACGGUGCUGAAGCAACAAUGCCCUGCUUCCAGGAAGCCUCUAAGCAUCAGGUAACAUCAAAUCGUACCCCAACCGACACAGGUGGUCAGGUAGAGAAUACCAAGGCGCUUGAGGAGAACUCGGGUGAAGGAACUAGGCAAAAUGGUGCCGUAAACUUCGGGAGAAGGCACGCUGAUAUGUAGGUGAAGUCCCUCGCGGAUGGAGCUGAAAUCAGUCGAAGAUACCAGCUGGCUGCAACUGUUUAUUAAAAACACAGCACUGUGCAAACACGAAAGUGGACGUAUACGGUGUGACGCCUGCCCGGUGCCGGAAGGUUAAUUGAUGGGGUCAGCGCAAGCGAAGCUCUUGAUCGAAGCCCCGGUAAACGGCGGCCGUAACUAUAACGGUCCUAAGGUAGCGAAAUUCCUUGUCGGGUAAGUUCCGACCUGCACGAAUGGCGUAAUGAUGGCCAGGCUGUCUCCACCCGAGACUCAGUGAAAUUGAACUCGCUGUGAAGAUGCAGUGUACCCGCGGCAAGACGGAAAGACCCCGUGAACCUUUACUAUAGCUUGACACUGAACAUUGAGCCUUGAUGUGUAGGAUAGGUGGGAGGCUUUGAAGUGUGGACGCCAGUCUGCAUGGAGCCGACCUUGAAAUACCACCCUUUAAUGUUUGAUGUUCUAACGUGGACCCGUGAUCCGGGUUGCGGACAGUGUCUGGUGGGUAGUUUGACUGGGGCGGUCUCCUCCUAAAGAGUAACGGAGGAGCACGAAGGUUGGCUAAUCCUGGUCGGACAUCAGGAGGUUAGUGCAAUGGCAUAAGCCAGCUUGACUGCGAGCGUGACGGCGCGAGCAGGUGCGAAAGCAGGUCAUAGUGAUCCGGUGGUUCUGAAUGGAAGGGCCAUCGCUCAACGGAUAAAGGUACUCCGGGGAUAACAGGCUGAUACCGCCCAAGAGUUCAUAUCGACGGCGGUGUUUGGCACCUCGAUGUCGGCUCAUCACAUCCUGGGGCUGAAGUAGGUCCCAAGGGUAUGGCUGUUCGCCAUUUAAAGUGGUACGCGAGCUGGGUUUAGAACGUCGUGAGACAGUUCGGUCCCUAUCUGCCGUGGGCGCUGGAGAACUGAGGGGGGCUGCUCCUAGUACGAGAGGACCGGAGUGGACGCAUCACUGGUGUUCGGGUUGUCAUGCCAAUGGCACUGCCCGGUAGCUAAAUGCGGAAGAGAUAAGUGCUGAAAGCAUCUAAGCACGAAACUUGCCCCGAGAUGAGUUCUCCCUGACCCUUUAAGGGUCCUGAAGGAACGUUGAAGACGACGACGUUGAUAGGCCGGGUGUGUAAGCGCAGCGAUGCGUUGAGCUAACCGGUACUAAUGAACCGUGAGGCUUAACCUU